CAGUAAACCCGAUUGAAAUCGAAAUACUUUUUUAAAAGAUUGAAAUGAAAAGCGGGGCUAUCG
rnacentral:sRNA from 1 species